CAUUACCGAGAUUAGGGUCCACUUGGGACUUGACCCUCCUACCCUUUGUAUAUAUAUACUUUUGUUGCUUUGGCGGUUACCCCGCGGCACACGGCGCUGCUAGACACGUCGAGUCCCGGGCCCGCCAGAGGCCCUUUUAAAUCUGCCUUUUAUCAGUGACAGUAUGAGCAUAUUUUUGCGAAUCUAAAUCAAAACUUUCAACAACGGAUCUCUUGGUUCUGGCAUCGAUGAAGAACGCAGCGAAAUGCGAUAAGUAAUGUGAAUUGCAGAAUUCAGUGAAUCAUCGAAUCUUUGAACGCACAUUGCGCCCUCUGGUAUUCCGGGGGGCAUGCCUGUUCGAGCGUCAUUACACCUCUCAAGCUUCGCUNGGUAUUGGGUGGUUCGUCCCCUGUGGAUCGGGCCUGAAAAUCAGUGGCAGGGCAACCGGUACUCAAGCGUAAUA
rnacentral:misc_RNA from 1 species